AUGCAUAACCCAAGGAACCAGAACAAGCAUCUGAGAACUCAUGUGUUUUUUGCUCAGUUCUUGGAGAAGUUGUUCUGCUUAGCUGAAUUCCUUCAAGAGGAAAUUGAACCAAAACCUCUGUUCCAGGCUGUGCAUGGAGGAGUUAUGGUAAAAUUUUCCUUUGUUUCCUUUAUUCCACCUGGAAAUGUGAGCUGGAGGGUUUGCAUCCCUUUGAACUGCCAGUGCUGUGGGGAGGACAAGAAGCAGUGAUGUAUGGAGUGGGUGCUGCAGCCAGAAGGACAACCUGACAGAAGGAAGCUUUUGCAUCAACCCAGAUACCUCUUUGAGGCUGGGAUCAGAGACAUAAGCCUGAAAGAAGGAGCUUCAUAAUAACUGGAAUCAAGCCUUCCUGACAUUGUAGCCUAGUACAUACUGUUUAAUUUUACAUCUGAGUUUUUUGUAUGGCUUAGGUAGGCUACGACCAAAUUAAAACAAAAUUCAUAUUUUGUGUUGCCUGUCUGGACAUGAAUGAUGAAACUGCUAAAUCAGGUCUGGCCUGACAGGAGGGAUUUCUGUUUUCUUAAUGUGCUAAUUAUAUUUUUUCUUCCAAGUCAUUUGCAUUAUUAUGUGACUAGGUGUUCAAUACUCUCUAACACAUAGCCAGCAUUGCGCUGUGAGCUGGGAUAAUGGCCAUAUUCUCAUUGUCCAUUUUAAUUUGGGAAUCAGACAAAUUACAGUUUAGCAAACUAAAGUUAUAUGCAAAUGUUAAUAAACACCUCUGCACAAAAUGAAGAUAAACA
rnacentral:lncRNA from 1 species